GAUGAACGCUGGCGGCGUGCCUAAUACAUGCAAGUCGAGCGAACAGACGAGGAGCUUGCUCCUCUGACGUUAGCGGCGGACGGGUGAGUAACACGUGGAUAACCUCCCUAUAAGACUGGGAUAACUUCGGGAAACCGGAGCUAAUACCGGAUAAUAUAUUGAACCGCAUGGUUCAAUAGUGAAAGACGGUUUUGCUGUCACUUAUAGAUGGAUCCGCGCCGCAUUAGCUAGUUGGUAAGGUAACGGCUUACCAAGGCAACGAUGCGUAGCCGACCUGAGAGGGUGAUCGGCCACACUGGAACUGAGACACGGUCCAGACUCCUACGAGAGGCAGCAGUAGGGAAUCUUCCGCAAUGGGCGAAAGCCUGACGGAGCAACGCCGCGUGAGUGAUGAAGGUCUUCGGAUCGUAAAACUCUGUUAUUAGGGAAGAACAAAUGUGUAAGUAACUAUGCACGUCUUGACGGUACCUAGUCAGAAAGCCACGGCUAACUACGUG
rnacentral:rRNA from 1 species